rnacentral:rRNA from 1 species
UACGUAGGGGGCAAGCGUUGUCCGGAUUUAUUGGGCGUAAAGAGCGUGUAGGCGGCCAUGUAGGUCCGUUGUGAAAACUCGAGGCUCAACCUCGAGACGUCGGCGGAAACCAUCUGGCUAGAGUCCGGAAGAGGAGAGUGGAAUUCCUGGUGUAGCGGUGAAAUGCGCAGAUAUCAGGAAGAACACCCGUGGCGAAGGCGGCUCUCUGGGACGGUACUGACGCUGAGACGCGAAAGCGUGGGGAGCGAACAGGG